rnacentral:rRNA from 1 species
AUGCAGACACUACGCAGCAAAAUGCUAUCUUGCUCAACACCUUUGUUCUUCCUCUGCUGCCUACUGCUAGUAUCAUGCCUUCUUCUCUUGGAAGAAGCACAUGCGGCACGCCAUGGAGGGAUCUCACUGAGGUCUCAACACACAGCCCUCCUCCAAUGGAAAGCUACACUUGCAAGCACACCGUUGCAGAUGAGCUCCUGGCAGGAAAACACCAGCCCGUGCAACUGGACAGGCAUCAUGUGCGCGUCUGUUCGCCAUGGCCGCCGCAUGCCCUGGGUGGUGACCAACAUCUCCCUGCCAGAUGCUGGCAUCCAUGGCCAGCUUGGUGAGCUCAACUUCUCAGCUCUUCCAUUCCUAACAUAUAUUGAUCUUCAGAACAACACUCUCCAUGGUGCACUGCCUGCUAGUAUCGGCUCACUGUCAGCACUUUCGGUACUUCACCUUCCCUACAACCAGCUCACAGGGAAAAUUCCUGCUGAGAUUGGUGACCUGCAAAGUCUCAGGCUGCUUGAGCUCUCAUUUAACAGAUUCACAGGACAUAUCCCUGCAUCUCUGGGUAACCUAACAAUGUUAACUGAUCUUCUCAUUCACCAAAACAUGGUAUCAGGUCCCAUUCCCGAGGAGAUUGGAAGACUUGUCAACCUACAAAAUCUACGACUAAGCAACAGCACCUUAAGCGGUUUGAUACCGAAAACCCUUGGAAAUCUGAGCCAACUAAAUGCAUUAUGCCUGUUUGGUAAUCAACUUUCAGGGCCUAUACCCCAAGAACUAGGCAGGCUAGUCCAUAUGCAAAUUCUUGAGCUUAAUUCAAAUGAUUUUUCAGGUCCAAUUCCAAUCUCCAUAACCAAUAUCACUACGAUGAACACACUUUAUCUCUUUGAGAAUGAAAUCACAGGUCCAAUACCCCCAGAACUAGGCAACCUCGCUAUGCUAAACCAACUUGGUCUCUACGAAAAUAAAAUAACAGGUUCAAUACCCCCAGAACUAGGCAACCUCACUAUGCUCAAUGAACUUUUUCUCUAUACAAAUCAAAUCAUAGGUCCAAUACCUUUAGAAUUGGGCAUCUUGCUGAAUCUACAGUAUUUAGACUUCGGCGACAACAAAAUAUCUGGCUCUAUCCCUGACAGCUUAGGAAAUAUAACCAAGCUAGUGGUACUACACCUCUAUGAAAAUCAGAUAACAGGUCCAAUACCUCUAGAAUUAGGCCUCUUGCUAAAUCUGGAGGAUUUAACCUUGGCCGACAACCAAAUAUCCGGUUCAAUUCCUAGCAACUUAGGAAAUAUUACCAAGCUAGUACAACUAUCCCUCUUCAAAAAUCAGAUAACCGGUUCCAUUCCCCAAGAGAUUGGCAAUCUGAUGAACCUCGAAAUUUUAGACUUGUAUCAGAACAAAAUUUCAGGAUCAAUACCGAAAACUUUUGGGAAGUUGCAAAGCAUCCAAAGAAUGCAAAUCUACGAUAACAAAUUAUCAGGUUCUCUUCCCCGAGAAUUCGGAGAUCUCAUCAGCCUUGUUGAACUUGCGCUGUCUAACAACUCACUUUCUGGACCUUUACCCGCAAAUAUUUGUUUAGGGGGCAGACUUCAAUAUCUCCAGAUCUCUUCUAAUAUGUUCAGUGGCCCCAUUCCAAGGAGUUUAAAGACAUGUACGAGUUUGGUUCGACUUCGCCUUGAGUCGAACCAACUAACAGGAGAUCUCUCUCAGCAUUUUGGUGUCUAUCCACAACUUGUACAGAUGCGGUUAGCAUCGAAUAGACUGUCUGGGCAGAUCUCACAAAAUCUAGGUGCAUGUAACAAACUAGAAGUACUACAUCUAGCACAAAAUAAGAUCACAGGUUCCAUACCUCCAAUCCUUUCUAAAUUGUCCAACCUAGAAGAACUAACACUCGAUUCUAAUUAUCUAAGUGGUGAGAUUCCACCAGAGAUCUGCACUUUAGCAAACCUAUCUAGCCUGAACUUGUCAUCAAACCAAUUAUCUGGAUCCAUACCUACACACAUAAAAAAGCUACACAAUCUAGCAUACCUUGAUACAUCUGGGAACAGACUGAGUGGAUUAAUACCUGAGGAACUAGGGACCUGCAUGAAACUACUGUCCUUGAAGAUCAACAACAACAACUUCAGUGGAAGUUUGCCAGGUGUGAUUGGAAAUUUGGCAGGCCUGCAGAUCAUGUUAGAUGUGAGCAACAAUAACUUCACUGGUGUGUUGCCGCAGCAACUUGGGAAGUUGGAGAUGCUAGAAUUUUUUAAUUUAUCACACAAUCAGUUCAGUGGCAGCAUUCCGUCGUCCUUUGCAAGCAUGGUGAGCCUUUCAACACUUGAUGUGUCCUACAAUGACUUGGAAGGACCAGUCCCAACAGCACGGCUACUCCAAAAUGCUUCAACAAGUUGGUUUCUUCCCAAUAAAGGUCUAUGUGGUAACCUCUCUGGCCUGCCACCUUGUUAUUCAACUCCAGUAGCUGGUCAGCAUAAACGAAAGAUACUUGUUUUGCUCGUGCCAAUUGUUCUUGCGGUGGUUUUCUGCAUUGUUGUUGCAAUUUCUGUCAUAAUAAUUCUUGGUCGUAACAAGAGAAAACAACAAGAGAGUGUUCCCGCUGAAGGAAGGGACCUAUUCUCUGUUUGGAAUUUCAAUGGAAGAUUAGCAUUUGACGAUAUUGUAAGGGCAACAGAAAACUUCGAUGAUAAGUACAUCAUUGGAACAGGAGGAUACGGCAAAGUGUACAAGGCACAACUCCAAGAUGGGCAGCUAGUUGCUGUGAAGAAGCUUCAUCAGACAGAAGAAGAGUUGGACGACGAAAGAAGGUUUCGCAGUGAAAUGGAAAUCUUAUUACAGAUCCGCCAACGAAGCAUUGUCAAAAUGUAUGGAUUUUGCUCCCAUUCAGCGUAUAAAUUUCUUCUCUACGACUACAUUCAGCAGGGAAGCCUCCACCGGACGUUGGAAAAUGAGGAGCAAGCAAAGGAAUUGGAUUGGCAAAAGAGAAUUGUUGUUGUAAAUGAUGUGGCUCAAGCAAUAUCUUAUUUGCACCACGAAUGCAGUCCACCUAUAAUCCAUCGAGAUAUAACGAGCAACAACAUCUUACUUGAUGCAACCUUCAAGGCUUUCGUCUCGGAUUUCGGCACAGCAAGGAUUCUUAAGCCUGAUUCAUCAAACUGGAGUGCACUAGCGGGGACGUAUGGGUACAUAGCUCCUGAACUCUCGUACACAUCUGUUGUCACGGAGAAAUGCGAUGUCUAUAGCUUUGGUGUGGUUGUGCUAGAGCUACUUAUGGGGAAGCAUCCAAGGGAUCUAUUAGACGGUAGUUUGUCAAAUGGGGAACAAGCUAUGCUGGUGAAAGAUAUUCUGGACCAGCGACCGACAACACCAACAGCAACGGAAGAGAGUAGCUUAGCUCUGUUCAUCAAGCUGGCCUUCUCUUGCUUGGAACCUUCUCCACAAGCAAGGCCAACCAUGAGGCAGGCAUACCAGACACUCAUCCAGCGACCCUCUUCUAGUUCCUCUUCUGUGCCUUUCAGUGCACUAACACUAGAGCAAGGGAUGCAUGUUGACAUGUGA